rnacentral:misc_RNA from 1 species
GAGAGUAAAAGCAGUGAUGGUUUUGCCUAAAGAAGGAUUAUCUGGAGGUGGAAGUGAAAUAAUAACCACUCCUUUAAUCUGGGGAGAGUAAUCAGAAUCCAUAUCUCCUCCUCUCCCAAAAAAGGGUAUGUAUCAAUCACUCAAAACAAGCAAAGAUCUGUAUAAAAGGAAGGCGAGGGAGCUAUUCUUGGACUCUCCUCAACUGCUA